rnacentral:lncRNA from 1 species
CCUUCCACCGCCCCUUCCUCCGGGUCUCCCCGGCCUCGGGGGCGAAACCAGCUCCGCGGGGAGGGACGGGGGACAGGGGACAGGGAACAGGGGACGGGGAGGUCCCGCACCCCGCACCCCGCUCCCCGCACCCCAUCCUCCCCCGUGCGCCCCGACGGCCCCCGGGAGGCCUCGGGGGCUUCGCUCCCGGCCGCCCCCCGCGCACCUCGCCCCGUGCAGUCGCUGCCGGUGUCGCUGCCGGUGUCGGUGUCGCUGCCGGUGGCGGUGGUGGUGGCGGUGGCGAUGUCCCUGCGGCCGCCCCCCGCCCCCGCCGGCCCCUCCUGGCCGCCCGGCUGCGAGCCGAUGGGAGGGCCGAGCGGCAAUUCAUCUUGAUUUGCCUUCAUUGUCCGGAGCUGGCGAACUAUAAUCCUGUAUAAUUUCACGAACAAGCAGGUUUAGAAUUAAUGGGUCACUAUUAUUUAAAACAAAACACGCGAGAGCACGACCUUUCCCUUCAACUACACGCCGCAGCGCCGAGCCGCAGGAAACUCGGGGCUAACCUCUCACCCCCCCGCGCUCGGCGGGGCUGCGGUUAUUUGGGCUGCUCUUUGUUUCCCUUAAUGUCUGCAAGGGGAUUUGGAAGCAGAAAUGUAAUAUUACAUGAAGGAUCUCCCCGCUUCGGGGAGAAGGUGCUCGCAGGGGGCGGCCGAGGGGACAGAUGAUUUCGCACGGGAGCGCGGGAGAAAUUUAUGCUCGAGAUACAGCAACUUCGGGGCUGGCGAUGUCAAAUAAUCCAUUUUCUCGGGGCUGCGCAGGGGAGCAGUGGCAGCCCGGCCGCCCGGCGCACACAGGAGGCAGCGCUUCUCGCAUGCGACUUCAGCGCUCGGGGGACGAGGUCCCGUGGCAGCGACCGGUCAGUCCCUGCAGACGAGUCACCGCUGCGCCCCUCGGAAAGAAAAAAAAAAAUAAAAAUCCAGACAAAAGCGUAUGCUGUAUAUUUUUACUCCCAUGAAAUAAAACACAUUUGUCAUGUUCGCUGAAAAGGAAA